GGCACGGUGGCGCAUGCCUGUAGUCCCAGCCACUCGGGAGGCUGAGGUGGGAGGAUCACUUGAGCCCAGGAGUUCUGGGCUGUAGUGCGCUAUGCCCAUCGGGUGUCCGCACUAAGUUCGGCAUCAAUCUGGUGACCUCCCGGGAAUGAGGGACCACUAAGUUGCCUAAGGAGGGAAGAGGGUGUCUUGGGAAAGAGUGUAGAU